UACCCAAUCAAUGCCUUUCACAAGGGAAACACCAACUGCAUUUUUUUUUUUUUUUGUAGAUGAGUAUUUUCUACCACAUAGAACUGGAAUUGCUGAGCUAUCUUCUCUUCCUAGAUUAUCUGAUUUAUAUGUCCCAUGACAGCUCUUAGGAUACAGUAAAACACAAAGUAUCAUAGGCUUUGAUCCUCCUGCAAGAGGAUGUUUGGGUCUCUACAAGAAGCUGAAUGAGCCUAGACAACAUUUACUUCCAUUCCUUUGAUCUGAAGGACGCUGCUUGUUAGUGAAGACAGCUGAUUCUAAUCACAGUGGAGGGCUCUUAUUUGCUGUUCUUUCACACUCACACUCCUCCAAAAAGGAGAAGAGGAUGGAAUUACUGGGUGUAGAAGCACAAAGUGCUUACUGGACUACAGGAUCUGUGAGAGUCACUUUGCCAGUACAGGUGAUGGAGUGUCUUUUCAUCUUACUCCCUGGAGAAUGAGAGGGAAGUGGAAAGGGGGAAGCAAUUCUGUGGGUUUCAUUGAAAAAUUGUACAGGUGGUUGCAGACAGUGCUUACUCAUUACUCAGCAGUGAAAUUACAAUGGUCAGGAAAUGCAGAAUUUGAGAGCAGGUGGUUGAUGGGACAAGACUGGCUGGGGAACAAGAAAAUAGAAAUCCCGUUUGACCUCUGCCAAUUUUUUUUGCUAAUGUCUGUAUUUACAUUUGCUGCUGGAUUUUUUUCCAGUUUUUCAGUGAUUUGUCGUCGAGGAGGUCUGUGACAUCACUUUGAAUCAAUAUACUGUAUUUUUUGUACAUUUGGAUAUAGUUCACUUUUUCAGCUAUGCAUCAAAAAUCUAAAUCUGUUUGCCUUAUCUAGGAAUGACAGAGUUGGCUUUUUGGUUUUAUUUUUUAGAGACAGCCAUCUGUCUAUCUCAAGCUUAUUCAGAGUUCCCACAGGCAAAGUAUUUUUAACUGUAUCAAUUAUAGUUGUAUCAACUGUUUUGUAAUUAUUGCCUUGUAGCUCUUCCCUGCUGUAUCAACAUCUCUUUUUCUAGUCUCUUUUUAGAGAAAUCAUGAUCUUGUUCCUGUCACACAGAGGAAGAAUUUUUAAUAUCUUAUUUUUGGAAGAGAAAGUCUUUAUAAAGAUGUAUUUUCAUGUGUGCUUCUACCUACUGCUGCCUAAAUAUCCUGUCCAAGGUAUACGUACAUUUCUUCCUCGGCAAACUCUUCCAUUAUAACAGUGAAAAGCAUAUGUUUUAUAUUCACAGUCCCUAUGAAUCUCUUUAAUUCACUCUCAUUUUCUCUGAACAUUUAAAUUAAGAAAAUAAAAUGUAAAUGAAUGAAAGAGAAGUCAAAUAAAAUGACCUGCUGCUACUGGCCCUGAUUCCACACCAUAAAGUAUUCUUAGGCUUUUGGAUUUCUGUGAAUAUGGGAUUGACAGAGGAUAUUACCUCCUGCUGAUAAAAAGGAUGUAAGGUUCAGAGAAACUGCUUCUGAGUUCUCCAGCAAAAAUCUGCAUGGAGUCUUAGGGAAACACAGAGUUCACCUCCUUCUCAGGUGGGUAGAAGACAACCUAUUCUAUAAAAUAGGUGUUUGUAAAAUCCAAUAAUUCGUUUGCUGAAACAAAUAUUUGGGAGUAUAAAAUAUGAUAGGAGGGCAAAGAUACUGAAUUUUUUCCAUCUGGUUGGUCCUGAAAUACUGCCAACACAUAUUAACAAUUUCUAAGAUAAGUAGGACUGGGACAUCUGUCCUUUCAAUUGUCCACUUCAAUAAUAGCUCCAUGAGCAUUAUGACCAGUUUUGUUAACCUUCCUAUUAUUGUUUCUCUAAGUAAUCGUAUCACCAAAUAUCUGCAUGGAUAUAGCCUACAGUAGUUAUUAAAGCUGUGAGCAGACUUGGCAUCCAACUAACCUGUUACCCGUCUCACCACACCCAUCUGGCACAAGGCUGUGGGUUUCAUGCUAAGAGCAUUGAUGAUUACAGGUUUGGGGACAAAGAACAACCAGAGUCUAUAUCUGCAGAUACAGAAUGGAAAGUGCCUAGUGUGGCAAGCUGGUCUGCUCUUAGCUGGGAUAGAUACAAUUUUUAUGUAAUAGCUAGAACAGGGCUGUGUUUUGGAUUCAGUGUGAGAAUAAUGUUGAUAACACACUGAUGUUUUGGUUGUUGCUCAGCUGUGCUUACCCUGAGUCAAGGACUUUUCAGUGUCUCAUAUGCUGCCUGUGAGGAGCUGCACCAGAAAGUGGGAGGGAGCAUGGCUGAAACUCCUGACCUGAACUGGCCAAAGGGAUAUUCCAUAUAGCAGAACGUCUUGCCCAGUAUAUAAACUGGGGGGAAUUACCUGGAAGGGGCCAAUUGCUGCUGGAGGACAGGCUGGGCAUCAGGUGGGAGGAGGAGUGAGCAACCAUAUUGUGCAACUCUCAUAUUUCUUGGUGUUUCUCUCCCUGUAUCCAGCUCCUUUUAAUCACAAUUAUUAUUAGUAAUAGUAUCAUUACUACUGGUAUUAUUACCAUCAUCAUCUUCUUCAUCAUUAUUAUCAUCAUCUUUUAAAUUGUUUCAAUUGUAAUUGUAAGGGUCUAUUUGGAGGCCUCUCACUAGUGAUUUCCCCAAAGUUCAAUACUGGACCUAGUAUACUUGAACUUAUCAACGACUUUGAUGAAAGGGGCAGAUUGUUCCUCAGCAAGUUCACUGAUGACACAAAGCUGUGAGGAGUGGCCGAUACCCUAGAGUGCUGUGAAUCCUUCAGAAGGACUUUGACAGGCUGGGGAGAUGGGCAGAGAAGAACUGUCUGAAAUGCAACAAACAAAACUGCAGGGUGCUGCCACUGGGAGGAAUAACCCCAAGCACCAGUACAGCCCAAAGGCUGAUCUGCUGGAAAGCAGCUCUGAGGAGAAGGACCUGGGGCUCCUGGAGGACAACAAGCUAUCCAUGAACCAGCCAAUGGUAUCCUGGGAUGCACAGGAUGAGCAUUGCCGGGCAGUCAGGAGAGGUGGUUCUGCCCCUCUACUCAGCCCUGGUGAGGCACAUCUGGAGAGCUGUGUCCAGUUCUGGUUUCCUCAGGGCUUGAGAGACACAGAGCUCCUGGAGCUAGUCCAGCAGAGGGCAACAAAGGUGAUUAACCCACCCACCUGUUCCCCUUACUACUGACUGAACAUCUGUCCAAUUACAGAAGUGUGGGGCAAAGAAACAAAAUAAUAAUAAAUAAUCAUUAUAAAUAAUAACAAUAACAUAAUAAUAAUAACAAUAAUAAUGACUCACAGGGUCACUCAGUUCUGUUUUGUCCAGCUGGGAAAACCAUGCAACAGCUGUUAAUUUGUGAAAUUCCUAAUCUGCAUCAGGCUGUAGCCUAAAGUAUAAGAAUGCAUCCCAACAUACUAAACUUUAAGCCUAUAUUAGAUAAAGAAUGAGCUCCAUUAUGGACCAUAGGAAACAUGGAAGAGUUCCAAGAACUUAUCAGUGUUCCUGGAAGGCAAAUAUUAAAAAAAACUCUUAUGUUAUACUAGGAAGUGGCCUACAACCAUAUGUUGCAGAGUAGACAAAAGAAAGAGCAAUACUUCAAUUUCCCCAGACCACCAGUAUGACUCCAAACCUGACUGAGGAUUAGAACAGGAUAUAUCAAGCAAGCACCUAAGAAUAAUGGCACUAGAACCACCACUGUCUUCCAUUUACAUUCUUUUAGAUUAUUCAACAUCCAGAGUUUCAUGAAAACAUGACAGAAUCCCCUUUUGCAUUCAUUCCACUGCAGAAGCUGGAUAUUUACUAAUUAUAGCAACAUUUUCCUUCUGCUAAGAAUGACCCUCAUAAAUAAAUCUAAAUAUGAACAAAUCAAAAUCUAAAUUCAAAUAACCUAAAUAUAAAUAGGGACUAAUAUGAAUGUCAUGUAGAUACAGUGUAAAUAUGAUGCAAACAAUCAGCAACCCAUCUUUCAUAAUCUCUUCAAGAUCCCAAAAUACCAAGUACCAAAGACUAAUAUACAUAUAUAUACAUAUAUUUUUGGAUGUUUAGAAGUUGUCUUCUAAAUUUCUAGGCUUAUAAAUACUCAUGAUUGUUUUAUAGCAUUUGAUAUUAGACCAGCAUUUUUAAUUCACAUAAGCAAUUCUUCUCUCUUUUUAACAAUUUCCCGUGAAUAUAAGGAACGAUCAAUCCUCUUAAAACUUUGAUUUACCUAAGCUAAAUAAACCCUAAUCUCUACCUUUCUCCCUAUAAAAUGAAAACUCCAUUUUCCAAAGCCUUCUGUGUUCUUAUUCCAAUUUAGUUUUGUUUUGCUUUGAUUUUCUUCAACAUAGGUGCGAAUAGAACACUAUAUUCCAAAGUAUUUCAGUGUCUUCUGCAGAAAGGUUUUCUUGAGUGAUUCUCUACUUUCUUGCUGUUCAUAAUAUCUCCCAACUUUGUGUCAUCUGUAAAUUCCAUUAGCAAAUAAUUUGAUUGUCUCCUAGGCCACUAAUAUGAAGAGCAUAGGUUCCAAGAUUGAGGUAGUAACCACUGUCAGCCUAGUAAGUUUUUCCAAAAUAAGAUUUAGGGCAUUUUUUUCCCCCCUUAAACAGCUCUUUAUCCGUUUCACAUUAAUCCCUCAUACCUUCACAAACCAAAACUUUUCCAGUCCUUGGGGACAAGGAUACAGAAGGUGUAUAUGUAUGAAAUAGGUUGUUCUGUUGUUUGCUCAUUAUUUUUCAUCUGAGAAUUGGAAAUACUUGAGAUUAUUUUGUCUAUGAUUAGAACAAGAUUGAAAUUAGUUCUUAUUAUUAGACAAAUUGCUGGAUGUCCACAAGAAUCCUAUAUUGUCUAUCUUUACCACAUAAAUAAUAAUAGCUAUUUUCUCUGGCUAUGAAUAUUACAUGUCAAAGUUAAUCUUCAAUUCCCUUUGCUUAUUUUUUCAGUAUUUUUUGCUGCUCCUUUAAAAUAACAUAGAAAUUCUUUUGAGCAUGCUAAGUGUCCACCACCUCUUGCAGGCAGAGUCAAUGUCUCCUUGGAGCUUUCCAUUAAUCCCACAGUAGUAGAGUUUCAUUCUUUCAUUUGUAAAAUUUUGGUUUUUUCUGCAUAACUAUGUGCACAGUCUGCAGUGCAAAUCAUUAUUUCUAGAUUAUGUGUCUUCUGCUGGAAGAAAUUAUCUUCUGCAAGUAUUUUUCUAGUGGUGCUUUGCACAAAAAGAUUUCCUGGGCUUUCUCCUCUUAUUCCUCCUACAUACCAUCGUUGAUCAGAAAUAUCUCAGAAAGGUGGAAGGAUAUUAGCCAGAGGAAAAAAAUGUCUUAUCAUUACCCCUAAUAGCUCCAUGGCAGAGAUUCAGCAACAGGAGUUUGGCUUUUGGGAUGUGGGCUGUAAUGAAGAGCACGACACAAGCAUCUCUGCAGCUGCACAUUACUCUUGUUGGCAGCACUUUUAAGAGCCAGAACACUUUGACCACAGCUCUGCAAUGUGAACAUCCCUCAAAGUAGGGGAGCUUCACACUAGCCUUCUGGUUUGUCCGAAAGAAAAACUUUCUUCGAUAGCAGUGGUCUAGCAAGAAUCAAGAAUCCAUUAGUGGUAUCCCAAAAUGACCUGUCCUAAUAAAAAAAAAGUGUUAAGAAAGCAAGUUAGUCAAAAAGAAACAACAAAUUGAAAUUGUUUUCCCUUGAGAGUGUAAACAAGUGAAAAUAUCUUGAGACUGUUUUAAUGGGCAUGUGGUGCCAGUAUGACUGUGUGAAUCAACAUAUACAGAUAACCACGGUGACCACCAAACCACAGCUGAGAUACAAAGAUUCAGGUUUUUUCAUUACCUGACUAACAGUGUUGGACAGCAGAGACAGGUGGGGACACAGGGUCCCUCAGUUCAUCCUUGCACACAGCAGUGGAGCAGUGGGUUAGGCAUUGCCUGCUCCAAAGGGCUUCUCACACACAGUUUAUCCUCUCUCUCUCUCUCUCUGUCUCUGUCUCUGUCUCUCUCUCCCCUCUCCCUCUCCCAGCAAGAAGCUCAAGCAUAUCCACACAGGAAUCCCACCUCUUGAAA